UCCAGCCACAAUUCUCGGUUG
rnacentral:miRNA from 1 species